rnacentral:rRNA from 1 species
UGGGGAAUUUUGGACAAUGGGGGCAACCCUGAUCCAGCCAUCCCGCGUGUGCGAUGAAGGCCUUCGGGUUGUAAAGCACUUUUGGCAGGGAAGAAACAGCCUGGGCUAAUAUCCCGGGCGACUGACGGUACCUGCAGAAUAAGCACCGGCUAACUACGUGCCAGCAGCCGCGGUAAUACGUAGGGUGCAAGCGUUAAUCGGAAUUACUGGGCGUAAAGCGUGCGCAGGCGGUUCGGAAAGAAAGGUGUGAAAUCCCAGGGCUUAACCUUGGAACUGCACUUUUAACUACCGGGCUAGAGUACGUCAGAGGGGGGUAGAAUUCCACGUGUAGCAGUGAAAUGCGUAGAGAUGUGGAGGAAUACCGAUGGCGAAGGCAGCCCCCUGGGAUGAUACUGACGCUCAUGCACGAAAGCGUGGGGAGCAAGCA